rnacentral:rRNA from 1 species
UACGAGGGGGGCAAGCGUUGUUCGGAAUUAUUGGGCGUAAAGGGCGCGUAGGCGGUGCGGUAAGUCUGAUGUGAAAUCCCUCGGCUCAACCGGGGAACUGCGUCCGAUACUGGAUGGCUCGAGUUCGGGAGAGGGAUGCGGAAUUCCAGGUGUAGCGGUGAAAUGCGUAGAUAUCUGGAGGAACACCGGUGGCGAAGGCGGCAUCCUGGACCGACACUGACGCUGAGGAGCGAAAGCCAGGGGAGCAAACGGG